ensembl:lncRNA
GCAUUGAAGACUGUGAAGAAGUUCUCGAUCUUCUCCCGGCACCCUGGAAAGAACACAGACAGGGUGAUCAUUAUCAUCCCUAUCCAUGAAUCCAUGCAUUCUGAAGGUAAGGUAUUGAGGACUUCAAAUGGAACCAAAGCUAGCUUAAAGUGUAAGUGAACCCCCAGUUUCAGCUCAAAUUUGAACACUGACAUAAAGAGAACUCAGGGAAGGUAGGGGAGAGGUGUAUCCCCGUGUUUUACGCCCACAGCGACUUCCUGAUACUUUUUUAAGCUAGUGCACAUCGUUAAGUCAGAGUGAUAUAAUGAGCCAUAUGAUAUUCGCCACACACCGUGGCGUUAGACAGUAGGCAUAUCCUCUUCUCGGACACAGCCAUCAACAUAAGCACUGCCCUAACUGAGCUCCACACAUCCACACCACCAUGGCAGUAGCAUCGCUCUCAGAGUUAGAAAUCAAGUGUCAUCAAAGUGCCACCGAAAAGCCAUUUUAACAUCACUAAAGGAACAGGACCCAAGUUUGGAGUAGAGUAGAAUGCUCAGAGCUCAGAGCAGAGUAGAACUGGCAGAAACAUUUGAUUUGUCACCAGGUUUUUCUGAAAUAACGCCAUUAACUUAGUAACGAUGACAAAAUGGCAUUGUGGGUACGUGCGACGACAAGCCUGCAGGGGGAGUAUGGGCAGGUUGGGAGCGCACCGGAUUGGCUGUGGGGGGUUGGACCCGAGUGCGAGCAGGUGUCAGCAGCACUCCAAUCAGGGAGUGUUUGUACUUAUGUGCCUGCUUUGUGUUUUAGUGGGAAGGGGGAAUCCAGAAAGGAUCGGGAGCGGAGAGACAGGGGCGAUCGCCGCCAGAGAUUGCAUUGAACGCACCCUGUGACCGCUUUGAGCGGAGUUAUAAUUUACCUUUAACCGAGUUAUGUUUUGAUGGACUUUGUUGGAGAGAAAAUAAAAGGACUUUCUGUUCAAAGAGCAAACCUGGUGUCCAAGCGCUCUGUGAACCCGUUACAGGCAUAAUUACUAUUUUGAAAAUCAUUGAAGACAUACUACACAAUUUGGGUAUAUAUAUACAUGAAAUAUGGAUUCACUGGCACUUUAAGGGCAUGAGGUGACACAGCCGUGCAUAUAUCAGGAUCUCGUUGCUAACCAUGUGAGCGCUUUGGUCGUAAAAGUCCGUCUGCGGCGUGAAAGAGUUCCUGCGCAUGGCGUUAGACAUCGGAGGCAGGGGCUGACCCUCGGGCUGGCCUAGGACAUGCUGAUCCAUCAUGGGCAUGUGUCCAGGGGAGGGGGGCGUGUGUGGGGACGGCUGACUCACCGGGUGUGGAGGCAUCGGAGUCAUUUGAUGGGGAGAGGGCUGGUUUACCGGAUAAGGGGCUUGGUUCGUCAGAUGGGGAGGUUGUUGGUUCAUCUGAUGGGGAGGUUGUUGGUUCAUCUGAUGGGGAGGUUGUUGGUUCAUCUGAUGGGGAGGUUGUUGGUUCAUCGGAUGGGGAGGUUGUUGAUUCAUCUGAUCGGGAGGUUGUUGGUUCAUCUGGGGGGGAGGAUGUUGGUUCAUCAGAUGGGGAGGUUGUUGGUUCAUCUGAUGGGGAGGUUGUUGGUUCAUCUGAUGGGGAGGUUGUUGGUUCAUCUGGGGAGGCAUGUGAGAGCCCAUGUGUCCCGGGUGAGGGGGCGAGGAGCUGGGCUGCUGCUGGAGAGGUGGAGGGUACAUGUCCGAGGGCUGGGGCUGCUGAGGCUCGUAGGGAGAGGGGCCGGAGUCGGGGACCUGCGGUAGGUAGCCUGCGGCCGGGCCGGGGGGCACGGGGUAGAACUGGUGGACCUCUGAUGGGUGGUGCUGUGGAACCAUGCCGUCUUGGAGGAUGGUAGUUGGGGCUGUAAGAGAACAUAUAGUGUAUUUAUAACACAUAUUUAGAUUUACAUGAAGAAAUAACCAAUAGCUCAAUAACUUGCUAACUUCAGUUAUAUGUAAGAUACAGAUGGUGGAUUUUAAGUAUAACACAAACACAUACCUCAUGAUGUGUGCCCAUAUGAGAAAACGACUGCAUGGAUUUUGUGUAUCAUCUUAUCCUAGCUAGCUGUGUUGCAUAUGGG